AAUGUUGAUUACAGAGCCCAAAACUGUGCUCAGUCCUCUGUCCUCUUGGAUUUCCUACACAAUUUGUCUUUUUUUUUUUUCCUCGUUUCAGAGGUCCCCAUGAUGAAGCAGGCAUUGCAGGCACUUCGGGGAAAAGCUUUAGGGAUGUGCUUUUCUGCGUGUGCAUUUUUCCACCAAAAGCCUCAUCCUGUGGGAGCCAUAGCACCCUGCUGCACCUGCCUACGCUGCAUUGGAGACCCGUCUGCACCCACGCUGUGAGAUCCAGCUUUUCCUCUUGCUCACUCCACAACCCUGGGCAAGAUGUUUUGGAAUGGAGCGGCGUGGAGCAGAUCACAGACUUCCUCCUGAGACUGCAGACAGGGAAAGAAAAACCAUUUUUCAUUUUGAACCAGGAAGAAUUUUCACUCAAAACCGAAGCACUGGAGUCAGCCAGACCUGGAUUCUAAUCCUGGAUCAGCUAUGUGACCUCGGAAAUGGUUUUUUGGCUGAAUAUUGUCUCUUAAACAUGAGAAUAAUAUCUGAAUGUUCAAAUAUGAAAAUGAUGCCAUUACAUCUUUAUUCCUAGAAAUGUCUUGUCACUACAAGGUGGUUUGUUGCACUGUCACCUUUCUACUGGAUUCACUUGGAACCACUUGGAGCACGGAGGAAGGACAAGAAGGCUCCUGUCCCCCAGUGCAAUGCUGCUGCUACUUGAUUCAUUUUCCUCCAUGAGCUUCUGCUUCCCAUUUCUUUGGAGCAGACAAGCGUGCUCACUGCACCCCCAUUGCCGCGUCUGCAAAUGGUAAGAGCAGCUGCAGUUAAGGGCACUUGCUUCUGGCAGACUUCCUGCAUGUUCUCUGCUUGACAAUGUCAUGGCUGACAGAGCUGAGCCAAAGAGAAAGAUGAGUUUCCCAAGAGGGGCAGAAAAGCCUUUGGAAGGUCUCCGGGGUGAGUCCUAUGGGGUGAACCCCGCAGUGGUAGCACACCUCUUGUGGAAGGUUAUCUGUUUGGCAUUUGUUAGCUGGAUAACGAUGUCCAGUUCUGAGCACACAGAGGCCUGCGUGAAGAGUCCAAACAAGCACCCACUGUGGGAGACCGGGCUGAUGGCUGCCUUGCACUUGUCCAGUCAUUAUCUUAGCGGCUGCAUGCUAGAUCCCCUACUCUGCCCAGGAACCCAUCAAGACGCUUGCUGCUGGACAGGGUCCUUCACUUGGCUGUGAAGCCCACCCAGCAUGAGCUCCCUCCCCAGUCACACUCCUGAUGCUUCUCCAGCCACAGCAGCUUUUCAGUCACCUUGUGUGUCAUUUUGUGACUCCCCACCUCCCCCCCCCCCGCCCCAGCAUCUGCACUUUCCCUCUGGAAUGCUCGUGAGUCCCUCACUUCUCCUCUGUGCCUCUGCUUAGUAAAUUCCCACUGUUCUUUCUCAGUUCAAGUCGCGCUCCCUCACUGCCUCCUUGCUCCUGUAGGCUCCUCUGUCAGGUGACUUCACAAAACCAGAUUAUCUUCUCUAGAAUUUGAACUCUAUAGCAU